rnacentral:rRNA from 2 species
UACCGAGUGGCGAACGGGUGAGUAACACGUGGGUAAUCUGCCCUGCACUUCGGGAUAAGCCUGGGAAACUGGGUCUAAUACCGGAUAUGAGCUCCUGCCGCAUGGUGGGGGUUGGAAAGUUUUUCGGUGCAGGAUGAGUCCGCGGCCUAUCAGCUUGUUGGUGGGGUAAUGGCCUACCAAGGCGACGACGGGUAGCCGGCCUGAGAGGGUGAUCGGCCACACUGGGACUGAGACACGGCCCAGACUCCUACGGGAGGCAGCAGUGGGGAAUAUUGCACAAUGGGCGGAAGCCUGAUGCAGCGACGCCGCGUGGGGGAUGACGGUCUUCGGAUUGUAAACCCCUUUCAGUAGGGACGAAGCGAAAGUGACGGUACCUGCAGAAGAAGCACCGGCUAACUACGUGCCAGCAGCCGCGGUAAUACGUAGGGUGCGAGCGUUGUCCGGAAUUACUGGGCGUAAAGAGCUCGUAGGCGGUUUGUCACGUCGUCUGUGAAAUCCCUCGGCUUAACCGGGGGCGUGCAGGCGAUACGGGCAGACUUGAGUACUACAGGGGAGACUGGAAUUCCUGGUGUAGCGGUGAAAUGCGCAAAUAUCAGGAGGAACACCGGUGGCGAAAGCGGUCUCU